rnacentral:rRNA from 1 species
AUUGAACGCUGGCGGCAGGCCUAACACAUGCAAGUCGAGCGAGCGGCGGGCAGGUGAGGAAUGUAUAGGGACUGCCGGAUAGCGGGGGAUACCUACUGGAAACGGUGGCUACUACCGCAUACUGUCGGAUAACCCAUAUGGGGUGAGCUAGUAGGUAAGGUAAUGGCUUACCUAGGCGACGAUGCCGAGCUGGUCUGAGAGGAUGAUCAGCCACACUGGGACUGUGACACGGCCGCGACUCCUACGGAGGCAGCAGUGGGGAAUAUUGCACAAUGGGCGCAAGCCUGAUGCAGCCAUGCCGCGUGUGUGAAGAAGGCCCUAGGGUUGUAAAGUAUUUUCAGUCGGGAGGCGUUACCUACAGAAGAAGCACCGGCUAACUACGUGCCAGCAGCCGCGGUAAUAC